rnacentral:rRNA from 1 species
UACGUAGGUGACCAGCGUUGUCCGGAUUUACUGGGCGUAAAGAGCGCGCAGGCGGUCGUUCAAGUCGAGUGUGAAAGCCCCCGGCUCAACUGGGGAGGGUCACUUGAUACUGAUCGACUCGAAGGCAGGAGAGGGAAGCGGAAUUCCCGGUGUAGUGGUGAAAUGCGUAGAUAUCGGGAGGAACACCAGUGGCGAAGGCGGCUCUCUGGGACGGUACUGACGCUGAGACGCGAAAGCGUGGGGAGCGAACAGG